rnacentral:lncRNA from 1 species
ACCACAGGUGCUGGGUCACAUACACCCACUUAAGUCUCUUCAGCUGACAAGAACCUGAUUUAAUGCACUGGGUGAUAACUGAACACCUACCUGUGGGCUAGGUUUGCUUUAAUCACCAUCAAUAUUGCUUGAACCAAUCCCCUGCUGAGGACUUCUUUGAGGACUCAACCACCCCCACAGUGACUGGGGAGGUACCAGCUCCAACCCCCAGACCCCGACCAGUAUUUCCCUAUCUUCUAGGACAGCAGAGACUACAAGUGAUUUUAGUAGAAAACCCAACAUCAAGUCUCAGAAAUCAUGGUGCUAGGCCCAGAACUGGGGAUCCAAGGGUAAAUAUGAAAGAACACCUGCCUUUGAAGAGACAACAGGAUGAAGUGCUCAUGGAAAUGAAGAGAGAGACGCUUCAUGAUCCAGUAUUUUCUAUUCCCGGACAUAACUAGGAGGACUUCUGCGACAUUUCUCCGCCUGACCCCAGUUCCACAACUUCAGACCCUACUUUGAUUCAAGCAUCACUUCACUUACAACGUUCUAUUUUCAUUGUUUGCUGAGUUCUUUUCUGAAAACUAAUCUUGGGAAACAGUUAAACACACAAGAGAGUAAAUAUAUUAUACUGUAAUCAGUACACUUGCAGCCCUCAUAUCAGAUGAAUGAAUAUUAAAAUGCUAUCUCAUGUGCUUCAGAAAUUUUUAUUAAAAAAUAAAUAUUACAGGUGUCCUUUUUUUUGUACCCUUCUUACACCAAUUUCCCUUUUUUUUUUUUUUUUUUUUUGAGACGGAGUUUCGCUCUUGUUACCCAGGCUGGAGUGCAAUGGCGCCAUCUCGGCUCACCACAACCUCCGCUUCCUGGGUUCAGGCAAUUCUCCUGCCUCAGCCUCCUGAGUAGCUGGGAUUACAGGCUUGAGCCACAGCGCCCGGCCUAUUUCCCUUCCUUUAACCUCAGUGGAAAUAGUCACUAUAAAAUUGCUCUGUUUCAUUUUUUCUAUAAUUCUGCUCUAUAUGUGUGUGUCAAAAAACAAUAAAGCAAU